rnacentral:rRNA from 1 species
UACGUAGGGGGCAAGCGUUGUCCGGAAUCAUUGGGCGUAAAGAGCGUGUAGGCGGUCCGGUAAGUCGGCUGUGAAAGUCCAAGGCUCAACCUUGGGAUGCCGGUCGAUACUGCCGGACUAGAGUUCGGAAGAGGCGAGUGGAAUUCCCGGUGUAGCGGUGAAAUGCGCAGAUAUCGGGAGGAACACCUAUGGCGAAGGCAGCUCGCUGGGACGUUACUGACGCUGAGACGCGAAAGCGCGGGGAGCAAACAGG